GAGUUUGAUCGUGGCUCAGAUUGAACGCUGGCGGCAGGCCUAACACAUGCAAGUCGAGCGGUAGAGAGAAGCUUGCUUCUCUUGAGAGCGGCGGACGGGUGAGUAAUGCCUAGGAAUCUGCCUGGUAGUGGGGGAUAACGCUCGGAAACGGACGCUAAUACCGCAUACGUCCUACGGGAGAAAGCAGGGGACCUUCGGGCCUUGCGCUAUCAGAUGAGCCUAGGUCGGAUUAGCUAGUUGGUGAGGUAAUGGCUCACCAAGGCGACGAUCCGUAACUGGUCUGAGAGGAUGAUCAGUCACACUGGAACUGAGACACGGUCCAGACUCCUACGGGAGGCAGCAGUGGGGAAUAUUGGACAAUGGGCGAAAGCCUGAUCCAGCCAUGCCGCGUGUGUGAAGAAGGUCUUCGGAUUGUAAAGCACUUUAAGUUGGGAGAAGGGCAGUAAAUUAAUAACUUUGCUGUUUUGACGUUACCGACAGAAUAAAGCACCGGCUAACUCUGUGCCAGCCGCCG
rnacentral:rRNA from 1 species